rnacentral:lncRNA from 1 species
AGAUCUCGCUCUGUCACCCGGGCUGGAGUGCAGAGCUGUGAUCAUGGCUCACUGAAGCCUUGACCUCUCAGGCUCAAGUGAUCCUCCUACCUCAGACUCUCAUGUAGCUGGGACUACAGGCAUGUGCCACCACACCCAGCUAAUUUUUAAAUUUUUUGUAGAGAUAGAGUCUCCUUAUGUUGUCCAGGCAGGUCUCAAACUCCUGGCAUCAAGUGAACCUCCUGCGCUGGCCUCCCAAAGUGCUGGGAUUACAGGCAUGAGCCACUGUGCCCAGCCUGAUGCUUUUUUUUGUCUGGUUUUUUUUUUUUAAAGAUCUCUCAGCAGAGUAAUUUUAUUUAAACUGAACUUGAAGAGAGAAGGAAGAGAAUGGAAAGCAGGAAGUUAAAGGAGCGAGUCCAGCGGAUUCGUGGAAAUGGAUGGAGGCUGCUGAGUUGAGAGACUGAGAAGUGGAGGUACCUAGGAAGGUCCUCCCUGAAAAUACAUCGGGUUGUAAAACCUGGAAAGAAAUACCUCCAUUUGUCAGGCACUCACAGGGCGCUCUCCUCUGGCAGCUCCCAUGUUGAGCGCCCAGGGCAGCGACCAGACGGCGUCCUGUCCUCCUGCACGGGGCCAGAACUGGAUGGUCCCGCGACACAUCGUGUCUGCAGCUUUAGAGGCCUCCCCAGGAGUGCUACCGCGGUCAUUUCUGCCCAGCUGUAAAAUAACACCCAAUCAGCGAGCCGCCAGCUGCAAACUGUUCCGACCUACUCCUCCCUCCCCGGCUUAAUUCCCACCUAUACCAAAGUGGCCCCACGCGGGCAGAAGCGAAAGACGGAAAUGAGGGGAGGCCAACUACUCGAGAUCUGCGCCCGAAGCAGAUUUUCCACGCGCUCAGAGUAGGGUCGGGGAAAGGCCCACUUGGGGCUUCUGAGAGAGAGGGAAGGGCAGGGAAAGGGCUGCCCCCCAGCAAGACACAGUUGGGUGAACAACUGAGUCUUUGCCUCGUUGACAAAGGAGAAUGAGGGACUCGCGCCAGGCUGGCUUGAACUGACUGGAGAAAAGCGACUUCUGUAAUUCAGGGCCCUCCUCGUGCGAAGGAAACUUUGGCAAAGCAGAAAGACAGGCAUGCAGUUUCCAGGCGGAAAAACGUGAACCAUGGGACAUGAUGGGCUCCAGGGCCGUGGAUGCAGUUGCCCGAGGCCCCAGGGCCGCCCCCGGAAGGCCGGGACUGCCAGGGACUCGGCGUGGGGGUGCUGACUGCCGCUCCAGGCCUCGGGGUUCAAGCACUCCAGCAGCAUCCGCUCACCACGCUCCCCGCCCACUUCCAUGAUCACGAGGGGGCAAGGCUAGCCAAUCCGGGGUGGCCACUGCCCGGCCCUGCGAGGACUCGAGGCGCACUGGGAAACUGCGCGGUGCCUAGAGGUACAAAGAACAGGUCCUGGGAGGGUAGUAGGAGGGGACCUUAGCACAGCCUAUGUCAGUUUGUCAACAAGGAUUUGCUGAGAAGUCGCACUGUGCUCAGCAUAGCGGCACUGCCUACCUAAUGGGCUUUGGGGCAUAGACAGUGAAUAACCUGGCAGUGAUAAUAGUGUGCUGAAAGAAAGGCCAGCCCCAACAGCCACUACAGGAACCUCAGAAAGGAGGGGGCGUCCCUGUUAGUGGCUGAUACUGGAUUUCUCUCAUUGUGUUCGUGGCUGGCGCCAAACCAGAGAUCAUAAUGUAUAACAAAUAAAUGUGAAGUUUCUUACAUCCAAGUGGCCAGGGAAAACCUAUACUAAUUACAUGGUACAAACCCGCUGUGAUCAGGUGCUAAAUUGGGUGGCAGUCAGAGUACAGCUGUAGAGAUAUCUCUGAGGGCCAGAGUGAUCAGGAAAAGCUUUGUGGAAGAGGAAGAACUGGAGUUAGGUGCUGAAUGACGGGCAGGAUAUGGACAAGCAGAGGAAAGUGGGAAGGCGUUCCAGGAGGGAAGGGGCAGCAUAGCCAAAGCCCGGGGGAUGAGCAUGGUGGGUUUAUGGGGUUUUAGAGGGAUUAGCCUGUUUGGAGUGUAGCAGGUGCUCUGAAGAGCAUGGGACAGAAGAGAGCACAGGCAGCUGGAGGGUAGAGAUGGGGGCUAAUUGCAGAAUCCCACAGUGCCUAGGAAGGUCUCAGCUGUCAGGGUCUUCUCCUGAGACUCAUUCUCAGCUCCUUUUGGGGUUUAGGAAAGAUCUUUCAUGAGAGUUCCAAACAUUUUAGUUAAUGUUUAAUUCCUUCUCACUGAAUCCCCAUGGAAGGGGGCAAAAAGCAAGUGCUACUCCUCCAAGGUACUAAAACCCUGGUGCUGAGGAUGAGGCUGCUCCAGAGGGACCUCUGAGAGAGAGAGAGAGAUGGUAUCUUAUGAGUUGCAUAAGUCUUUUAGGCAAGAAAGCAGGAGGAGAUACUGAAGGGACCCCCUAAGGAAGCAGAAAAGCUUUACCUUCUCCUCUGCAAGAGGCAUCAGGAUUCCCUUUGAAAACAGAGCAGAGGACGGCGCAGAAAAAUUCAAGAAUGUUUGCUCUCACCACUUCUAUUUAGCUUUAUACAGGAGAUCCUAGCCAGUGCAAAAGGGCAAGAAAAGACAUUAAAGACACGCAGACUGAAGCAGGAAGAAGUAAAACUGUCCUUAUUACAGGUGGCAUGAUUUUGUAUGUAGAAAAGCCUAAGAAAUCUACAAAAAUCUACUAGAACGAAUAAGCAAACUUAGUAAGGUUGCAGGAUACACUAUAACAAACUGUCCAAAAAUGAAGUUAAGAAAACAAUUCCACUCAUAAUAGCAUAAAAAGAAUAAAAUACUUAGGAAUAAUUUUAACAAAACAAAUGUAAGACCUAUGUACUGAAAACCUUAAAACAUUGCUGAGAAAAUUCUAAAAAGAUCUAAACAAAUGGAAAGACACACAAUGUUCAUGGAUCGGAAGAUUCAAUAUUGUUAAGAUAGUAAUUGUCCCCAAAUUAAACUAUAGUUUCAGCUCAACCCAUAUCAAAAUAGGUUGUUUUUUGUAGGACUUGACAAGCUGAUACUAAAAUUUAUAUGAAAAUGCAAAGGAUCUAGAGAAAUCAAAACAACUUUGAAAAAGAACAAAGUUGGAGGAUUUAAAAAAUAAAGCUACAGUGAUCAAAACAGUGUGGUAUUGACUUAAAGAUAGGCAUACAUCCAUAGAACAGAGUAUAUUCCAGAAAUAAACUCUUACAUUUAUGGUCUAUUGAUUUUUGACAAGGGUGUCAAGGUAAUUCAAUAGUCAUCCAUAAAUGAUGCUGGAGCAAUGGAUAUUCCUGUGCAAAAAAAAAAAAACUUACAUUCUUACCUCACAACAACCAUAUGCAAAAAUUAACUAAAAAUGAAUCACAGCCUAAAUGUAAGAGUUAAACUAUAAAAUUCCUAGAAGAAAUCAUAGGAGAAACAUGGAUUAGGGCAAAGGCUUCUUAGAUGUGAUACCAAAAACGUGAUCCUUAAAAAAAUUAAUAAACUCAACUUUAUCAAAAUUUAAAACUUUUGUUUUUCAGAAGAUACCAUUGAGAAAAUGGAAAGGCAAGCCACAGACUUGAAUAAAAUAUUUGCAAAUCAUAUACCUGAUAAGGUAUUUAUAUUCAGAAAUAUAAAGAAUUCAAUAAGACAAACUGAUUUUUUUAAUGAGCAAGAUUUGAAUAUAUAUUGCACCAAAGCAGACAUAUGAAUGGUGAAUAAGCAUAUAAAAAGAUGUUCAACAUCAUUACUCAUUAGAGAAAUUCAAAUUAAAACUAUAAUGAACUAUUAAUACCCACUGACAAUAUCAAGUGUCAGCAAGGAUGUGGCAAAAUUGAAACCAUAGAAUGGUACAGCUAAUUUAGAUAAUUGUUUGGAAGUUUCUCAAAAUGUUAAAUAUAUUUGCUAUAUGACCCAGCAAUUAAACUCCUAAAUAUCUACCCAAGAGAAAUGAAGACACAGAUUCACAUAAAGACUUAUAUGCAAAUGUUCAUAGCCAUGUUAUACGUACUAGCCCAAGCUGGAAAUAAUCCAAAUGUCCUUUAGCUGGUGUAUAAACAAAAUGUGGUAUAUUCAUACAAUGGACUACUACUUGGCAAUAAAAAGGAAUGAACUACAGAUACAUGCAACAAUAUGGAUGAAUUUCAAAAACAUGCUAAGUAGAAAAAGUCAGAUAAAAAAUGUUUUGUAUAAUUUCACUUAUGUGAAAUUUCUAGAAAAGGCAAAAUAUAGAAGUAUUCUAAAGUUGAAUUAUUAUUAUAAUUGUGAUUAUUGUACAAGAGUAUAAAUUUACUUAAAAUCAAACAGUACCCUUAUAAUAGGUAAAUUUUAUGGUAUAUAAAUUAUACUUCAAUAAAGCUGUUAAAGGACAGAGAGACUGCUAGAUAGGUCCUUGGGGAGAGGGUGGGGUGUGUGUGUGUGUUUGUGUGUAUGUGUGUGUGUGCGGUUAUAGGAGGGCAGAAAACACCUAUGGGAGAUAGUAAUGAAUUUAAGUGCAAUGAAAAAACACAGGGGCUCUGGAGCCAGCAUGCUAGGUUUGAAUCUUGGUUCUACUACUUACUAUAUGAACUUGAGACAAAUUACUUACCCUCUUCAAGCCUCAGUUUUUCCCUCUGAAAUGAGGCUAAUGGUAAAUCUCAAGGUAGUUGUACCACUAAAAAUGAUAUAUAUAUUGGCUGGGUGCAGUGGCUCAUGCCUGUAAUCCCAGCACUUUGGGAGACCUAGGUAGGAGGAUUGCUUGAGGCCAGGAAUUGAAGACCAGCCUGGGCCACAUAGCAAGACCCUGACUCUAGAAAAAAUAAGAAAUUAGCCAGGCAUGGUGGCAUCUAUAGUUCUAGCUAUUUAGGAUGCUGAGGUGGGAGGAUCAGUUGACAGGAGUUUGAGGCUGCAGUGAACUAUGAUUGCGCCACUGCACUCCAGCCUGGGUGACAGAGCAAGACCUUGUCUCUAAGAAAAAAAGAAAAAAAAAGAAUUAAAAAUAUAAAAAUAAUGUAUAUUGAAGGUAAUGUAUGGGAUGUGAGGGAAAAUUCUGAAACCAAUUACUUCUACAGAAAAUUCAGAGCUUUGUUGUAACUG